UCCGGUUUGUCACCGGCAGUCUCAUUAGAGUGCCCAACUGAAUGUAGCAACUAAUGACAAGGGUUGCGCUCGUUGCGGGACUUAACCCAACAUCUCACGACACGAGCUGACGACAGCCAUGCAGCACCUGUGCACGGACUCCGAAGAGGGCCUCCUGUUUCCAGGAAGUUUCCCGUGCAUGUCAAGCCUAGGUAAGGUUCUGCGCGUUGCGUCGAAUUAAACCACAUGCUCCACCGCUUGUGCGGGCCCCCGUCAAUUCCUUUGAGUUUCAGCCUUGCGGCCGUACUCCCCAGGCGGGGCACUUCAUGCGUUAGCGCCGGUACCCUGAGGGUCGCUCCCCAAAGCACCUAGUGCCCAUCGUUUACGGCGUGGACUAC
rnacentral:misc_RNA from 1 species